GGCUAAAGAGGAAGACCAGGACCUUAGUGAAGCCCAGACCAGCGGGAGGCGAGAAGAGAUCCUGGCAAUCUGCAGUCUUCAUGGCUUCUCCGGGACAGUUUCAGUAGAGAAUCAGCUAAAAGCCCUUGAUAAGGAGCUCCAGCUGCUGAAAGAGCAGGGCCAGUCGGGAAAAGCUGAUUAUGUUCAGACUCUUCACAUUUGGCUGUGCAAAACAGCUGGAAAGGUCAGCAAUCCUGAAGUGUGUGAUGAGGAGAACUGGCUCCACAGAGCCUCUCUGAAGUAUCUGGAUGCCUGGUCUCUGAGUCCGGAUAAGUGGGAACUGAACCUUCAUGUGGGUCGUCUGCUGCUCUUACAGGGAAGGAGCGAAGAGGCCCUGCAGCACCUGUACACUGCACUGGCCAUCACACCUGUCCAGGCAGCUCUUAGGUUCUACACAGGCCUGGCCAUGCUGCAGCAGCCUGGAGCUUCAGUGGAAAAUGAGCCGGAGGCAAUUUUGUUCCUCCAGCAGGGCCUGGAGAGUGUUAUGGCCCAGUACUUUACCUCUCCAGACCAUGAUCGAGGUCAGAAGCAGGAUGUUGGAUAUGCUCUUUCCACUGUGAAUGUCCAGUUUCUCAGAGCUUGUCUCAGUCUGGGAGAUCUGCUGUGCAAGCACGUCAACUCAGGGCAGGAUAUGAGUCCUGUACUGGUCUAUCACAUGGUUGCUGUGUUUGCUGCGCGAGCCGUUAGCAUGAGCGCUGUUCAGGGGGAGAUGGUUCAGCAGCUGGAGUGGGUGUUACUCGAUGCUCACUUCGCAUUGCUUCAAAUUCUCGUGCAGCAGCAGAGCGAAAUCACGCAGGCGUGGAACACUCGGAGAUGCCAGGCGCUCGGGGCGCUGAUCAGGCUCUCCUGCAUCGCCCCCUGCAGGAAGCUGUUGGACAUGCAGGAGAGGGUGUGUGAGAUGGGGGUAAUGACCACACCCUGCAGCAGUACAGCACUAUGUCAGCUAGGCCUGGCCCAGCUGGCCCAGUACGACAGUGACUCCAGCUCAGUAAGAGGUCAAGCAUCCUUAGCUGAUGCUUGCCUCAGUUUCCAGGCCAGCAUCGCACUGGAGGGACUGCCUUUAACCGGAGACGCCCCGGAGCUACUGACCAAGCAGGCGUGGUGGCAGAACCACUGGGUUAAAGAGAAGGAGAGGAGAGACAGGCAGGCCAGUAUUAAAACCACAGGAGUGAAUACAGCGUUUGAUAAAACAGGAGAGGGGACUGCGACUGGGAGAGGCAGAUCUGCAGCCGCAGCCAAGAGCACUCCAUCUGCUCCGGCCCGCGGCGUCAGAACUGGCCCGGCCCGCGGGGUCAGAACCGGCCCGGCCCGUGGGGUCAGAACCGGCCCGGCAGCCAGACAGAGAGGACAAGCAUCAAGAGGAGCAGCUGCUGAGGCUGAUGUUGGAGUGAAGAGUCCAGGAGAAGUGAGCUGUAAGAUUUCUUCUGCUGGCGAAUUUAAACAGGAAUGCAGGCCUCCCCAGGCGGAUUCAGCAGCAGAAUCAGUGGAGAGUAAAGCCGGUCCUGAAUCUCCUGCAGUUGCUCUAAACAGAAAGGGCUCUUCUGCUCGGCUGGGAUUGGCCCGGGCCCUGUCUCACUCUCCGGACUCUCACGAGCAGGCCUGCAGGUUUUACAGAGAGGUCAUCGCCCUGGACCCUGAGGUGUAUGAUGCGUACAUUGAGCUGGGGAACCUGCUGGUGAGUAGUGACCCUCUGGCUGCGGUGCACGUUUACAGCCACUUCCCAUUUAAACCCGUCACUGAUCAGACGUUUGAUGAGGCAUUUCUGACUGGAGAGAUUGUUCGCAUCCUAAUGAAGCAGGAGCUGUUCGACCAUCCACAGCUGCUCCCCAACCUGAUCGCCUACGGGAAGGUCAUGGGCCUCAGCUGCCUGGAGAAGUACAUUGAUGUACUGGAUAAGAAGUUCAAGACCAAACUUCUGAAGCAUGUUUAUGCAGGAAUUCAUCAUAAGUCACUGGACGAUGAGGAUCUUCAACAGUUUUUUAAGUUUAAAUGUUGGAUAUGAACAGAGUUAUGAUCUUAAGACUUUUUAUUUCGCAAACUCAUUCAGCUAUAGUUAUAUGUAGAGUGUUCAGAUUAGUCAAUAUUGUGUGGGUAUAUGUAACAACAUUUUAAACAUGAAUGUAUUUUUAUUAUUUUUUCCUUUUUAAAUUGUCAGAAUAUAUUUAGAGUAUUCAGGUUUCUCUCCAUCUGUUUUUUUCCCUUUUUUAGCACAAUACGCAACAAUAGUGGCAGAUAACUGCUUACAUAAAAAUAACAUGCAGAUAUUUAGAUCUGACCUAUUUGUCUUACUAAUAUGGUAUGAAAUGUAUAAUCCUAUGAAGCAGGUCAUAUACAGUAAAUAUUAAAA
rnacentral:lncRNA from 1 species